UCCCAAAGCGUUGAGUUUGGUGCAGGGCACUUAACCCUGUUCUGGUAAUUAAGCUUUGGAAGAGUGAAAGGCAAUUGGUCACAGAACAUGAUGGUGAUGUAUUUGCCAAUCAGACAGACCUCUGGCUAACAA
ensembl:snoRNA SNORA36A small nucleolar RNA, H/ACA box 36A